UACGUAGGGGGCAAGCGUUGUCCGGAUUUAUUGGGCGUAAAGAGCGUGUAGGCGGUCUGUUGCGUCCGCUGUGAAAACUCGGGGCUUAACCCCGAGCCUGCAGUGGAUACGGGCAGACUAGAGGUAGGUAGGGGAGAAUGGAAUUCCCGGUGUAGCGGUGAAAUGCGCAGAUAUCGGGAGGAACACCAGUGGCGAAGGCGGCGAUCUGGGCAGAUAUUGACGCUGAUGUGCGAAAGCGUGGGGAGCAAACAGG
rnacentral:rRNA from 1 species